GAAAAUUUUAAACAUUCAUGAAACGGUUUGCUGUUAGAGAUUCAUUUUCAUCUUGCAAAAAGACGGCGGAAAAAUGUGUUAUUGGUGCAGCCUCAAACUCAUUAUGGUAAGGUGGAUAUGUGAUCAUGGAAGUGUCUGAGGUGCACUGUCCUUGAGCAUAAAAGAUGUAAACUUUUGUCUGUGCUGUCCUGAAUGUGCUGGUGGAGAUAUAAGGUGAAACUGGUCAAGGCUAGUUGGAAAAGAAUGGAAGUUUCUAACCA
rnacentral:misc_RNA from 1 species